rnacentral:lncRNA from 1 species
UUUUGUUUGAUCUGCUGGGCACCUACUCUCGGUUCUGGCAGUGAAGAGAAUUUAAAGAAUAAUUCUCAGCAGAAGUUAUUAAACCAAUGUCACCUGAGCAGUCCAGUUUUAUUAUUUAUAUACACAAAACUAAAGUAGUACUUAAAUUUACUAGACAAGAUAGAAGAGUUAUUUUCAUAGAGACCCUAACUGGUGAACUUUUAUUUUCCAGGUUUUAUCUUAAAAUGAUUCUAUUUUUAUAAUGAUUCAAAACUGAAAAUUUAUUUUUACAGCCAUCAAUAAAAAGGAGGAAAAAAAAAGACAAAUAAAAAGGAACACAUCUGGGUCUGACUGACUUAGUGUACAUAUUUCAGAACAAAACUUGAAAUGUACUGAAAUCAAGACCGUUGCUUCCAAAUCCUAUGGCCCACGAAACAGCUACUUACACAAGUGGAAACAACACUUGCUGGUGCCAACCAAAACGAAAGGCUGAGGGAAAACAGGAAGUAAUCCACACAGAAAGUGUGUAACUAAUCUUGUGAGGGAUAGCAGCAGGCCUCCUCUGCAGCAAGCUUCAGGAAGGGAGAAGCACAGAUAGUCAUCUUCUACACUGAGAAUGGCCUGUCUGAGUGAGAUUAACCCUUGCCACAGAAAGCUAAGAUAACAUAUCGCUGUUCCAGAGAAAAACAAUGUAAAGUACUGGAUUGAGAUGAGACCCAACUUGAAACAUGAAGCCUCAAAAUAGAGGCUUGCAGUAAAAAUGGUUACAGGCUCUCAACUAAAGAAACGCAGUGAAAAUCCACCGAAAAGAUGGGUCAGACUGGAAUCACUCCCAGAUCCUUCAUACUUAUAAAAGGAAACCACACUGGAGAAGGUGUAUGAGAAAUAAGUUGCCUAAAAUGCUGAACGAGAUGAAAAGGUUUAUUGCUUACAAAUUCUCCUGAACCCACAGCAUAUUCAUAAAGGCCUGGAAUGAAUGAUGCUGCCAUUACCACGCAGUACACACGUUAUUUAAUUUAGGAGAAUAACAUAAUCAAAUCAAAGGAGAAAAUGUAACUGAAACUGCAACUGUCUGCUGACAAUGUGCGACACGUGACCAACACCACAGCUGCUUGUAACCCUUUAUCAUCAUCAGGAGGAUUAAACUACUUCCCUAUUUAUUUAAAUAAAAUUCAAAGUGGCAAGGG